GUCUGAAAUCAUACUCAUCCAAGCCGUAAAAUGGAACAAUUAAUAGGUCAUAAAGCAGGGGAUUUUAAAAAAUGUUAUGAGUCCCAAGAUAACGUUGAAUAAAUUACGCUAAAACAAAGCAGUGUCAAGGCAGUAUCGGAAACCCAAUACCAAACCUAGAAGUAAGCUCAGCCUAAGGCUGUUCCUAAGUUUGUACAUCUCUGAGAAACACAUUAAAACUUCAAAUUACAUUUUUACGGUGUUAUUUUUUGCUCUCUCUUUCCACAUUUUUACUUUAGAUUCCAACAAAGUCAUCAGACGAUGCACCAUUAAUCGUAUCAGAAGUUGCGAAGAUGCCAAAGACCCCAUCGGAGAGCGAGCAUCAGUGAGAAAGAAAGCGAGUCCAUGGCUCCAUCCAAGAUUGUUUGAUUACAAGUCCAUACGUUGUGCCGAAUGCUUUCAUGAUUUUAUGGUGUGGCAUGCUGAUUGUGAAGCAACCAGGCAUGGGUUUCCUUAGAAACUUUUUAAAAAAUAUAUACAAAAAUACUGGAAAUAAAUGCUGCCAGGCUGAUGUUUCUAGUUCGAGAUGUAGAACUCAACUGAAAGAACUGUAAAUAUUGUAUAGAGUUAAUGACACACUUUCGGUGUUGAGAAAAUUUGAUAACUGUCUUUUUCCAUUAGCAAAUACUUCAUCUAUGCACAUGUAUGUGUCACUUACACACACACACAUAUAAUAUCGUGUAUCGAUACACCCGCGUAUAGUGUCAGAAAUGCAAAAAUGUUAAGCCUUGCGGCAGCUUUUGCCCAAACAGAUUGUAGACAAAUAAAUGCCGCCAGCAGAACACACA
rnacentral:lncRNA from 1 species